GACGAACGCUGGCGGCGUGCUUAACACAUGCAAGUCGAACGAUGAACCCGGAGCUUGCUCCGGCGGAUUAGUGGCGAACGGGUGAGUAACACGCGAGUAACCUGCCCUUGACUCUGGGAUAACUGCGGGAAACUGUAGCUAAUACCGGAUACGACCCUCGGCGGCAUCGCCAGGGGGUGGAAAGAAUUUCGGUCAAGGAUGGACUCGCGGCCUAUCAGCUAGUUGGUGAGGUAACGGCUCACCAAGGCGACGACGGGUAGCCGGCCUGAGAGGGUGACCGGCCACACUGGGACUGAGACACGGCCCAGACUCCUACGGGAGGCAGCAGUGGGGAAUAUUGCACAAUGGGCGCAAGCCUGAUGCAGCAACGCCGCGUGAGGGAUGACGACCUUCGGGUUGUAAACCUCUUUUAGUAGGGAAGAAGCGAAAGUGACGGUACCUGCAGAAAAAGCACCGGCUAACUACGUGCCAGCCGCCGCGGUAACAC
rnacentral:rRNA from 1 species